AGUCGUAUACCAAGGUAGCCGUAUCGGAAGGUGCGGCUGGAUCACCUCCUUUCUGGAAAACAGCAUUCAAUAUUGAACGCCCACACUUAUCGGUUGUUGGAAGAAGUCGGUGCUAACCGACAUGGGUCUGUAGCUCAGCUGGUUAGAGCACCGUCUUGAUAAGGCGGGGGUCGUUGGUUCGAGCCCAACUAGACCCACCAAAUCUUCCGAACAUAAGAUGCGAGGAUCAGUGGGGGAUUAGCUCAGCUGGGAGAGCACCUGCUUUGCAAGCAGGGGGUCGUCGGUUCGAUCCCGUCAUCCUCCACCAACCAAUACGCCCUGCGGUAGGGUGAAUAAACUAACACCAAAGCGGCUUCGCGAGAGGCCUCUUUGUUGUUGGUCCGGUAUAGACCGGGUCAAUCGGCUGUUCUUUAAAAAUUCAUAGAGUCGAAUCAGCGUUGCCGGCGGAAAGCAGGAAACUGCACCGUGCCGCCGGUGACAAAAAUUUGAUUGCGUCAAAACGAAUGUUCAAUUGAGCGAAAGCUUGUUGAAAUUCAGUAAUGACGAAUUGUUCUCUAGGUAGCAAUACCGAAGAAGAAUUCACAUUACGGCAUAACGCGCGAGGUGAAAGACCUCGCAAGUCCUUGAAAGAAAGCGGAGAUAUCUCGCAAGAGAUGUCAAAGUUAUAGGGUCAAGUGACUAAGAGCAUGUGGUGGAUGGCCUUG
rnacentral:misc_RNA from 1 species